AAACUCUUGACAAAAGUUGCUCAUCUGCUCGAGUACUAUAGCCUGUAAAAUUUUCUGAAUUCUUUGAAUUUUUCUGAUGCCUCAAAGCUGGUCUGCAACUUCUGUGUUCAUCCAUGGCUGGUGUAUACGUCUCUGGCACAGGCAGGGGAGGGUGCCGAAAGCCUGCGUUGUAUCCAUUGUCGCUGGAAGCUUCGAGUGUACCAAUUUCGCAACUUGGCAAUUUGGAUUUCUAUCUCGAUUUCUCAGUAAAUAGUUCUGCUCCUUCACUGGAAUCUUGAGUCUUUCUUUUGGCUUUGUAGGAAUAGACAUAGACUGGUGUUUGGCCUAGGCUUGUUUUUCUUGUGAACACACGCUUGAUUAAAUCUGAACUUUUCUCCGAUCUUGUGGAAAUUGAAAUUGACAGAAUGCAUGCUCUGCAAUGCUUGAAUCUUUUUGUAUUUUGAGGGAGAAUUUGCUUGUCAUGGGAAUUGCUUGAGAAUUUUGCUUGCCAUGGAUAAAUUGCAUGCUGCUUUGAUAUUUGCUUAAGCCUUUUCUUUGGCGUGAGCUUGACUUGCAUGCUUGGCGUAUACUUUGCGUGUGCUACGUUCUUGACCACCUUCUUUGAUUGAACUAUAUGCAUCACGAGCAUAUGCUUGUAACUGCAUGAUUAAUACAUAGGGUUAGAGGCUGUUGAAAGCUGGAGGAGAGCACCAUUUGUUUCCUCUUUUGAGCUUAGAGUUUGGACAUGGCUAACUUUUUUUUCUUGGCUUUAUAGGGAUAGAUAUAAACAUGUAUAUGAUGGGUCUGCAAGAUUGUCAUGUAACUCAUAGGGAUUUUUUUGUUUUUGUGAAAAAGGUUACUAGGAGGUAAGUGGUGUUCAGUUUGUAACACUUGCUUUGUGAAAGGGUCUGCUGGAAUGAUUGAUUGAGCAUGAAAUGGGAACUUUGCUUGUCAUAAGCUCGAGUAAUAGAUUGCAUGAUGCUUCAAA